CACGUGGGUAACGUGCCCCGAUGAUUGGGACAACCCGAGGAAACUCGGGCUAAUACCAAAUGUGCCCUCCAGCCAUAAGGCUGCUGGGGAAAGGAAGCUUCGGCCUCCGCAUCGGGAUCGGCCCGCGGCGCAUUAGCUUGUUGGUGAGGUAACGGCUCACCAAGGCGACGAUGCGUAGCUGGUCUGAGAGGACGAUCAGCCACACUGGGACUGAGACACGGCCCAGACUCCUACGGGAGGCAGCAGUGGGGAAUCUUGCGCAAUGCGCGAAAGCGUGACGCAGCAACGCCGCGUGGGCGA
rnacentral:rRNA from 1 species